GAUGAACGCUAGCUACAGGCUUAACACAUGCAAGUCGAGGGGAAACGACAUCGAAAGCUUGCUUUUGAUGGGCGUCGACCGGCGCACGGGUGAGUAACGCGUAUCCAACCUGCCCAUCACUUGGGAAUAACCUUGCGAAAGUAAGACUAAUACCCAAUGAUAUCCCACGAAGGCAUCGGAAUGGGAUUAAAGAUUUAUCGGUGAUGGAUGGGGAUGCGUCUGAUUAGCUUGUUGGCGGGGUAACGGCCCACCAAGGCAAUGAUCAGUAGGGGUUCUGAGAGGAAGGUCCCCCACAUUGGAACUGAGACACGGUCCAAACUCCUACGGGAGGCAGCAGUGAGGAAUAUUGGUCAAUGGGCGAGAGCCUGAACCGGCCAAGUAGCGUGCAGGAAGACGGCCCUAUGGGUUGUAAACUGCUUUUAUAAGGGAAUAAAGUGGGUCACGUGUGACUUUUUGCAUGUACCUUAUGAAUAAGGACCGGCUAAUUCCGUG
rnacentral:rRNA from 1 species